CUGCCUUCUUUCGAAUGGUCGUCGUGGUGGGGUGGUGGGCAUGAUGGUGAUCUGAUGAUGAGCAUGAUUGCACCAGCUAAGUACGUAUGACACCAUAAAAACCCUCCUGCUAGGCCUAUAAAAUCUUCGAUUAUAUGCCAGGCUUGAGGGCGGCGUGACUCGAACGUGAAUAGUUUUCUUCAUAGUUUUUAAUUUACAUGGUUCCACUACUAUUAAACAUAUUUCUGUUCCACUCAGUCUCUCUGGUGGUUCCUGGUCUAUCCGGCAAUUCCUCUAUUUCUUGCCUGAUAGCAGCGAAGUCCACCGCACCUCCGAGAGCACCCCGGCUUUCCAGCACUAACCCGUAGGUUAGAACCCUCUGCUCCAAAGCAGCCAGCAUCUCAAUCUCAGCAUCUAUCCCUUCCCACUUUUCCUCCCAAUCUUUUCUCAAAGCUGGGCCACACCGGCUCCUCCAGAGCUCCGGGUCAGGCUGGCCUUUCCAAGCUCGUACUAGACCAUCCCUCACCCAAUGGAGCUCAAGAAUCCUAUGAGCUUCCCUAGCCUCAGAGACAAGAAACAGGGACCGGAUACAGAAGUCGCGAGAGGGAAAAUCUAGAUAACACUUGCCGACAACCUGGAAGUCCAUAGCUCGAAGAUGUCCUGUAAUUUAAUUUCUUGUCUUGUUUAUGAGGUCCAUCGAAUCAGCGGGGCUGUUUCAACCCGAAGGCUGCCGAAGCAGCGGUCCCUGUCGAGCAACGCUUGAGCACCUACAAUUCCCCAUGCGAACGCCCAUCUUACCUUUUUAUAUCCGCUGCAGCUGCUGUUGUUGUUGGUAUAUGCAUAUUCUAGGCGUCG
rnacentral:sRNA from 1 species